UGUGAGGUAGCUCAGUGUAAAGCACUUGCCUAGCAUAUGCAAGGGCCUGGGUUCACUCCCCAUCACCACAC
rnacentral:tRNA from 1 species